GGACAUCCUCUCGGAGCACUGGAUGAUUUGUGACAAAUACAAUUCAUCAAACUGACUGUGGAUCUCUGCAGCUCCCCAGCCAAGAGACCCAGUUACCGUGGUCGUCUUGGCUGCUUCUCUGAUUAAUGCUUUCCUUUCACACCUCGACAGUUCAGAGAGGCUAGGGAAGCCUGCGACUCACCCACCCUGUCAAUCACCCUCCAUGUGCGCUGGCCCCGUCAGGCUGGAGGUGAGCACCGCUGACAGACUUCAAGCAACUAUCUCAAGGACAUCAGAGGCCAGGGAACUGGAAGAAAACCGUAUUUGGAUAGAACAAGAUGAGCCCCGGCACAGGCUACAUGUUUCUUUCUCUUACUGUCACCCGGGCUGUCCAGCGCUAUGGCUCCAGGUCAGAAGACUUGACAAAGUUCCAAAAGCCUGGCGGCACUGCAUCAGGGAGGAAAAUGGCUGAAAAUGUGACUGAGUUCAACAAAGGAAAAUGAUUACUGACAGUAAAUAUACAGAGCAGCAGUACAUGCACUUUUCCUAAAAGUCUGAUGUAGACAGCUCUUAUAGAUUUGUUGUAAUGAGUACAAGAGGAAAUUUAAAGGACAUAUCUAAAUAGUUUUACAACUUUUCCUUUUCUGUUAAAUUCUGGCUGGUCGGAUAUUUCAGUUAGACUUAUAGCUCCCUGACUAAAGUCAAGAAAUGUAUUAAAAUGAGUGAAAGAAAAUGUCAAUAACACAGCUGAGAGUUGUGAGUGAUGGAUUAUGUGACGUUCACCAAACUCGGACUUUAUUUCUGAAUGCAAUUUUUAUCCAAGACAAAAGUGACGGCAAACCUAAGUGAAUAUAGUGAAGACUAAAAAAAUUAACUUUGUUAGCUCAGGGAUUUAAAAGGUGAUUUUUGUCAAGUCUAACUUUUUUCCUCACUGUGUAGCAGAAGAUGAACAUUUUUCCCCUUACCAGUAUUUGCACAAUAGACCUGCUACGACGCAAACUGUUCAUAAUCCUAAGUGAUGUUUUUGUUGGAUGAAGAAAAAGAUAUGUCUUGACUUGUUUUUUUGCUACAAAAGUACUUUAAAUUUAUUGCUCUGCUUGAAAAACGUCUAGAAAAAGCUGAUUCAUUAAUCUGUAACUAUGGUCAUAUUUUCUC